CCUGCUGAAAACCAGCUACGACUUUUAACAACUGUUCAGAGGAGAACAUUUCCUGGUUCAGUUGUGUUGUAUUCACGCUGUGCCAGAAAUAUCUCAGGACGGGCGACAGAGACAGACGACUGUGUUUUUACCCGAAGCAGAGCUGAUUGGCCGGUAAAAGCAGCCGUUGAUGGACAUGGAUAGAAAAUCUCUUAACUCGACAGGAACCCCCACAGAAAAUGUGAAAACCCGCAAUAUACUGGUAGAAAUGGGUUUGUGGCUCCCGUGAAAAUCACUGAUCGAUCUGGGGCUGAAUCAUCAUUUGUCUUUCAGGAUAUCUACAUGCUGUCCCUCUGGUCAGUGUGAAGAAGCAGUGGCACGACAGAAGGCAGAGACCGGAUGAUCAACAAAGAACUCGGGGUCUGUUCGGUCGAGGAUCAAACAAAUGAUUUCAAGUCUCCAUCUAAUCCUAGUUCACAGUUACAGUUUUGCUGUACAGACUCAUAUUCCCAAGUGUCUUGGUGUUCUUGCUUGACAGUUGAUGACAUUUAUGGAUAUAAGACAUGAAUCCAAAAACGACAAGGCAGUGUUUUGAGUUUCAAAAAGAGCUCAAAGUGACUGUUUCUGUACAUAGGACUACAAACAUGAACAGACAAACACACAAACAAACGGCAAAUCUCAGGAGCAUAAAAGGCUGCCUAGUAAUUCAAAGCGACAGCCUCAUGAUUACAGCCCCAGAAAUAUCUCAA